UACGUAGGUGGCAAGUGUUGUCCGGAAUUAUUGGGCGUAAAGCGCGCGCAGGCGGUCUCUUAAGUCUGAUGUGAAAUCCCGUGGCUUAACCACGGGCGGUCAUUGGAAACUGGGGGACUUGAGUGCAGAAGAGAAGAGCGGAAUUCCACGUGUAGCGGUGAAAUGCGUAGAGAUGUGGAGGAACACCAGUGGCGAAGGCGGCUCUUUGGUCUGUAACUGACGCUGAGGCGCGAAAGCGUGGGGAGCGAACAGG
rnacentral:rRNA from 1 species